GCCUCGUUAGCGCAGUAGGCAGUGCGUCAGGCCCAUAAUCUGAAGGUCGUGAGUUCGAUCCUCACACGAGGCA
rnacentral:tRNA from 1 species